rnacentral:snoRNA from 1 species
AGCCUCCUGGUGCUAACCACAGGCUGGGUCUUACACUGACUGUAUAAAGAGGAGGGAAAGUAAAUAUACCCAUUAUAUACCUCAGUUCAGGCCUUGUGUCCUGGUCUUUAUUGUGAAUGGGAAGACAUGG